UCUCCAGAAUGGCGCCUUCACUGGGUGAACAAGUAAAAGAAAGAAGGAAGGAAGGAAGGCCCUUGCUUUUAUUUGGUUCAUGCCUACCGAGCCAGCUGUCUGAUCAAGACUUACUUGGUGGUCCACUGGGAAAAAAUAUUAAACUACUAGAGAGAAGAUUCUUCUGAGAACAACUUGGGCUUGUGGAGAGGAGGCAGUCUUGGAAGGAGAUGAAUAUGGGUCCACCUCGCAGUCCACCACUGAGGAGCCGUGUGACCUUGGGCAGAUCACUUGAUCUGAAUGAACGAGUUUGUGAUUCAUCAAUUAGAUACAGUAUUAAAUGCUCACUAUGAUGUGUAGUUGCCAUCUGUCACCAACAAUUUUGCAAUAUGAGCUAUAGCUUCGCUUACUUCUUUUGUAAGUUAUCAUACAAUGAACCUCACCUUUAAAAACACCUUGAUGAACCCAAACAUAUAUGGUCAAUUAAUAUACGAUAAAGGAGCUAUGGACAUACAAUGGGG